rnacentral:lncRNA from 1 species
UCAUCAGUCCAAAUAUGAAGCAUCAACAUCUACACCAUUGAAGCGCCAACUGUGUAUUUCUGCAACACCAAUGCCAGCUCUGUCUAGCAUUCAUGGAGAAUCAUCUGAAAGGGAUGAUAAUUUGGAGGAGGUGAUGGAACAAGGUGAAACUAAAAAAGAAGGAUCUUCACAAAUGUUAUCUUGUGAGGGAAUUGAAGCAAACAUUGACGAGGAAGAGUUCAACAAUAUUCAAAACUCUGUGAUAGAGUCAUCAGAUGACACAUGGUCACCAAACAGAGAACCAGAAGUUGAUUCGUCUUCAGAGGAGGACGAAACCAUCGAGAUGGACAGCGGUACUGAUGACAGCGGUGAUGAGGACUACACACCUUAUACACACAUAAGUGGGAGCAUACACACCAUGAAGGUUGAUUGGGUGUUGGAGGUGUUGUGGCAGGUGGACCAGAGAGGGCAAGUACAUCAAAGAGAACACCAGUGUCUGUCCAGCACCAUGUCUAUUCGCUCGGAACAAAGAUUCCGAACUCGAGAAUAG